AUUGAACGCUGGCGGCAGGCCUAACACAUGCAAGUCGAGCGGAUGAAGGGAGCUUGCUCCUGGAUUCAGCGGCGGACGGGUGAGUAAUGCCUAGGAAUCUGCCUGGUAGUGGGGGAUAACGUCCGGAAACGGGCGCUAAUACCGCAUACGUCCUGAGGGAGAAAGUGGGGGAUCUUCGGACCUCACGCUAUCAGAUGAGCCUAGGUCGGAUUAGCUAGUUGGUGGGGUAAAGGCCUACCAAGGCGACGAUCCGUAACUGGUCUGAGAGGAUGAUCAGUCACACUGGAACUGAGACACGGUCUAGACUCCUACGGGAGGCAGCAGUGGGGAAUAUUGGACAAUGGGCGAAAGCCUGAUCCAGCCAUGCCGCGUGUGAAGAAGGUCUUCGGAUUGUAAAGCACUUUAAGUUGGGAGGAAGGGCAGUAAGUUAAUACCUUGCUGUUUUGACGUUACCAACAGAAUAAGCACCGGCUAACUUCGUG
rnacentral:rRNA from 1 species